UGACCUCGGAUCAGGUAGGAAUACCCGCUGAACUUAAGCAUAUCAAUAAGCGGAGGAAAAGAAACCAACAGGGAUUGCCUUAGUAACGGCGAGUGAAGCGGCAACAGCUCAAAUUUGAAAUCUGGCCUCUUUGGGGUCCGAGUUGUAAUUUGGAGAGGAUGUUUCGGGUACGGUCCGGGCUUAAAUUUCUUGGAACAGAAUGUCACAGAGGGUGAGAAUCCCGUCUGGAGUCCGGACACGGCCUAUGUGAAACUCCUUCGACGAGUCGAGUUGUUUGGGAAUGCAGCUCUAAAUGGGUGGUAAAUUUC
rnacentral:rRNA from 1 species